CGGCGUCCUUGUCCAGUUUGGUCAUCAAGAUCAUGGCCAGAGAUUAGCGAACUUAGAAUUACAGGUAGAAAACGCGCGUUUUCAGCGAAAUGCACGUGGAGUUUGGUAUUGAGGCAUGUCCCAGGGUCCAAUGAUCUUAGAUCGUAAACUAUGGCUGAGAAAAAUACCGAUGGGGAGGAUUUUAGGGGCGCAAACCAACUCCGCGUGGACAAUGGUCAAAAUCGGAGUGUCCAACCUUGUCUUCGUCAAGAAUAACAAAAAUAAGAAUAACAGUGAUGGCAAAACAAGCUUGAAACGGCAGAUAUCGCCAGAAACUACAACGGACACACAAGAUGUUGGCUCAGAACUUGAUGUUAAACUACCAGGUGAAGAUGGAGGUAGAGAUUAAAGGUUAAAAUUCAGUUUGCUGAGCACUUCAGUCUUUUGGAUCUUAACAACCUUUUGAGUGGAAAACAAAAUGGCAAAAUACCUCAAGAUGCAGUGCAGGCAUUGGACAUUGUGUUGCCACAGAUGCCAUCAAUACAUUACACCCCUGUUGGAAGAUCAUUCUUCACAUUUGAUGGUCAAGGAAGACUCCUGGGGGAGGGGUGUGAGGGGAAAUUUGGUUUUUAUUCAAGUAUUCAGCAUUCUGAGUGGAAGGCCAUGCUGGUAAACAUUGAUGGAAUUCGUAUACAAACUACUAAUGCUGGCUCUAUAAAGAGGAUGUACACAAUUUAGGGCGUCUCGGAAAAAUCAGCCAACAGGAAGCAGUUUGAUGUAACAGAUGAGGGAACAGGUCGCACAUAUAAAACAACUGUUACAGAUUAUUUCAAAGAUAGAUACCGGUUAAUUUUGAGGAGCGAGCUGCGGAUGAUUUAUAUAACUUGUGGGCUCUCUAUUAUAAGCACUAACUUAUACCAGAGCCAUUUCCUGCCUCUCGUCCUCAUGUAGUGAGCCCGGGUCAAAUGUGCCCGAAUAGGUCUAAAAUAGUUACCAAAACAGGGCUCAUGGUUCCCACGCGAGCGUGGACUUGUAAAGAAGCAAACACUUUUUCUAUUUUUCAAUUUUGUUUAGUUCGUAAUCUCUUUAUGAGAGUUCGAAAUUACGAUAACUAUUUCAGGAGGCACUCAUCGGAGGCACUUGCGGAGCUAAAUGAAGUAGCAGCGCAGGGCCAAUGCAGUCAGUACAGUCGGUGACUUUUACGUGGUUGCAACACGAAAUGGGAAAUGUCAAGGAAACACUAGUUUAAUAAGAAA